GGUUGGUGACACAAAAUGGUUAACGCCCACUGGAUUUUUGUCUCUUUCAUUUGUAUGAGAUUACGUAAGAGAGAGAGCACUAUACUAACUUCUUUCCGCGAAUAAAGUAUAGUAUGCAACGCGAAAUUCAUUAUUGUCAGAUAUAAGACGUUACAGAUGGAAAAGGACAACCAUUAUUAUCGUAUAAAGAUCAAUAUAUCAUAAUCUUAAUGGACAAGAGUUAUUUGGUAUAAUCUUAGGACCAAAUUAUGGACAGGUUUCUAAAAAUUUUGUAGAAAUUAAUUUGUACUUCCCAAAUCGGUCAUAGGUAUGACUUUUUGAGAACUAUAUACUUUUUUCAAUAAUGUUUUCGACUAACUCGUAUAUUAAUCUCUUUUUUACAAAAAAGCAAGUCUAUUUUUGGCACAUUUGUCAUGUUAAAUAUUAUGUACCUACAAAAAUUAAUAUCAAAUGUAUUUACUUAAAUUGUAUGGAAGUGUCAAGAAAAUUAUGAGAUAAAUCUGUUUGAUCGGUGGCAUAUAAUGUCGGUAUGUAAUCGGCAUCACCCGAUAAGAAGCGUUAUAGUUAUACCAUAUAGUUCUUGCAUUUCACGAGUGUCCGUGGCUCAAGCUAAGUAAAGUAAAUAUGUAAUGUAAGUAUAGUAAAAGUUAUUAAUUAACUAUCACCACUAUAUCGUACAAAUAUAACAAUUCUGACCAUAAAAAAGAGUACAAUAUAGUACCUUAGAUAAAUGAUUUUGACUUUGACUUUGAAAUGUGUGCGUUAGCGAGCGCUUGCUCGCGACUGAUUGGUCAAUUGGCACGCACACAUACUUAAUGUGCUUGUACACAAAUCUCGCUCGUGAAAUGCAAGCACUAUAUACAUACAAUAUGUGCAUUAUUUGGUACACAACUACAUUCACAGUGCCAAAUGUAGCCAAAAAAGGACUUCUCAUUUGAAAAAAAUUAUAAUUAUAUCCUUUCAUAUGAUUUUUACUUUACCGUGUUGCUAUGAUAAAUAUCUGAAUGUGCCGAAAGUAAAUUUUAAAAGUACUGUGAUGUUAAACAUUUACUAUUGUAAUGUAUCUAUUCUGAACAUAUGUACAACUAUUCCUAAAAAAAGAUAAAAUUCUUUGAUAUUAUUUUUCUUUAAUUAUCUUUAAUACUUUAUGCGUGGUAACAUGCAAUGGGUUCUACAAUGUACUUUCAGAACGAAAGUGACUUUGAAAAUAAAGGUGAAGACAAACUACUGUGAUGUGGUGUGUCGUGUCGUGCGGCAGAAAGCUACCAGUGUCUUACAUUUUAUAUGAAAAUGUACACACUAGUGUGUGAAGGUGCUAUUGCACGCUGACGCUUCAGGAGCACUCCAAUUGCUCGAUCGCAACGUCAGAGUGAUGUGACUUGUGACCACUAAAACACACUAGUAUGUCAGCACCUUAAUUUAAUGUGAUUUCAAUCAAUAUAAAAAUAUACUCUCUAUACAAAUAAAAUAACACGAAGGUAACAUGAAAGUACUAAAGUUAAAUUAAUAAUAACGCGAAAUGCAACACUUGUUCGAAAAAUGUUAUCGAAUAGGUCCAUUUCGAAAACUUUUUCGUAUUAAUAAAUCUUCCUAUAUCGUUUUUAUAAGCAAGUUUCUACAUUGGUCACUUUCGUUCCGAAAUCGCUAAUAACGUAUGUACUUUUCUUUAAUAUAAUUAAUAUUAUAAACCCCGAAAUUUCGCCUAAUCUAUUUCUCUCAAGAUUCCAAAAGACAAUGAACAACCUUAUAAAACGGUUACGUAACCCUGUGACAGCCUUCUCGGCUUCAGAUUUUUGCCGAGAAUAGCCGAAUAUACCUAUAGCAAAAUCGAUUAAAUUGUAACUCGCUAUCGAGUUAUUCGGCAAUAAUUUUGCGAAUUAUUCCGAGUACGACAAUUUCUCGAGACUCUGGCCCCUAACAUUUAUUUCGUACACGCACUUAUUUUCGUUGUAGGAUAUCUGCAAAGACAUUAUCCUAAAAUAUUGGCCAAUUUUAUCGUUCACUCGACUAAAAGUACUUGAUAAGUACAUUUUAGGCCCUGCCUAUUAUGAUUUCUGCAUCUUAAUACCAUUUUACUUUCACUUGAUGCCUGAUAUCGUUGAUAUCUGUUGUCUUUGUAUUUUUUUUUUGUUAUGUAAUUGGCUUCAAAAUCAUGUUUUACUUGGUACCAAACUGGGCUCCUUUCAACUUUAAGAGACCAAAAAAGAAUAAAACCUUUUUGAUAAAAUCUUUUGAUGUCACCUAUAUCGGUUUAUAAACUUCAAAAGCAUUGGCACUUUUUUUAAUGACAUAAAACCGAACACAAUAACUAUCGUUUUUACCUUCCACAAUACAAUUGUAUCUUUAUAAUCAUAUUUAUUUAAACGUCAUCAAUGGAAAAAAAUAAAACAGUCCAACCUCUAAACUUCGUCAGUUAAUUGUUUCUAAUUCGAAACAUUGUUUUCAAGUCAUCAGAAUCAAAUCGAUUACCGAUUCGGUAAAAUAUAUCUAUGGAUACAAAUCAAGGGAUUUGCAAAUUCCAUUUCUUUAAUUAUUCACAAUGCUCAAGAUAAAUCGAUAAUAAUCAGCAAUGACAAAACAUUGAUUACUUUCGAUGCAAAACUUUACUGGUAGUGAUAUUAUCAAAUCUUUAAUCAUGUAUGUUAAUAAGUACCUAAGUAUAUAUUUUUUUAAAUCUCACAGAACUAUUCCCAACAAAUGCAUUAAUUAGGUACCCACAUGUAAAAACAAAAUAUCUUUGGAAAGUUUUGCAUUAAAAGCUUAAAUAUUCCAAUAGCUUCCAAACUUUUCAAAAUUUAUUACCUAGACUAUAUUUUGCGCUUAAAUAUAUCGAAUAACCUCAAAAAAUGUUCAAUGAAUAUGUGUACUGCACUUAAAUAAGUCAAUCCCCGCCCGAAAGGCGAAUCCCUGAAAUAAUUACAAAGAUGGCACUAAGAAAACCUCGAAA